UAGGGAAUCUUCGGCAAUGGCCGGAAGUCUGACCGAGCAACGCCGCGUGAGUGAAGAAGGUUUUCGGAUCGUAAAGCUCUGUUGUCAGAGAAGAACGUUGGUAGGAGUGGAAAAUCUACCAAGUGACGGUAACUAACCAGAAAGGGACGGCUAACUACGUGCCAGCAGCCGCGGUAAUACGUAGGUCCCGAGCGUUGUCCGGAUUUAUUGGGCGUAAAGCGAGCGCAGGCGGUUCUUUAAGUCUGAAGUUAAAGGCAGUGGCUUAACCAUUGUACGCUUUGGAAACUGGAGGACUUGAGUGCAGAAGGGGAGAGUGGAAUUCCAUGUGUAGCGGUGAAAUGCGUAGAUAUAUGGAGGAACACCGGUGGCGAAAGCGGCUCUCUGGUCUGUAACUGACGCUGAGGCUCGAAAGCGUGGGGAGCAAACAGG
rnacentral:rRNA from 1 species